rfam:Callithrix jacchus chromosome X, whole genome shotgun sequence
AGAAAGGCCCUUCUCAGGGCCAUCUUAGGACCCAGCAACCGUAUUU